UUUUGCUCAAAGAGAGCAACAGAAAUCAUCUCUGCCGCCCUCUUCCCUGGAGCACAUCCCUGUAGGAUCCCAUGGCUACCAUCCAACAUGAUAUCAAUAGUAGGAUGCAUGACAAACCAGACCCCACUCAGCUAUUGCAUGCCAUUGCCUCCCAAAACAAACAUUAAAAGAAAUGGAGCCACUACUGAACCUGAUGAUUUAAUUGGGACCAAGAAUGAAAGACUGCUAGCACUACAACUGAAAUACACUGAAGCGAAACCCAACUCUACUCCUAAU